UGUAAGUGUAAUGGUAUUUAUUAAUUAAUGACUUUACAUCAUAAAGAAAGCAUAUUUAGUGUAAUGCUUUGGGGGCACCACUAGGGGUAGUGUGUAGGAAGACAUGUGCUUCUGGCAGUGACAUCACAGGCCAGCCUACUUACACUGAAUAAAACCAGAUGGAGGAGAAAACUCUGUCUCUUUGCCUCUUUGCCUGUACCUGAAAGAUGUAGUAGCAGCUCUGAUUUAACCCCAGCCAAAGGGCUGGGGCCUUGUAAGUAAAAUGUUGUGUAACAUGUAGCAACCUUUUGUAAGUAUUAUGUUGUAGUUUUGUAUUGUAUCAUAAUUGUAGUAAAUUGACAUUCUGCU
rnacentral:lncRNA from 1 species